ACGGAGGAAAAGAAACCAACAGGGAUUGCCUUAGUAGCGGCGAGUGAAGCGGCAAAAGCUCAAAUUUGAAAUCUGGCUCUUUCAGAGUCCGAGUUGUAAUUUGAAGAAGGUAUCUUUGGGUCUGGCUCUUGUCUAUGUUUCUUGGAACAGAACGUCACAGAGGGUGAGAAUCCCGUGCGAUGAGAUGAUCCAGGCCUAUGUAAAGUUCCUUCGAAGAGUCGAGUUGUUUGGGAAUGCAGCUCUAAGUGGGUGGUAAAUUCCAUCUAAAGCUAAAUAUUGGCGAGAGACCGAUAGCGAACAAGUACAGUGAUGGAAAGAUGAAAAGAACUUUGAAAAGAGAGUGAAAAAGUACGUGAAAUUGUUGAAAGGGAAGGGCUUGAGAUCAGACUUGGUAUUUUGUAUGUUACUUCUUCGGGGGUGGCCUCUACAGUUUAUCGGGCCAGCAUCAGUUUGGGCGGUAGGAGAAUUGCGUUGGAAUGUGGCACGGCUUCGGUUGUGUGUUAUAGCCUUCGUCGAUACUGCCAGCCUAGACUGAGGACUGCGGUUUAUACCUAGGAUGUUGGCAUAAUGAUCUUAAGUCGCCCGUCUUGA
rnacentral:rRNA from 1 species